ensembl:lncRNA novel transcript
CUCAAGUUGAAGGGCAUCGGCCACAGCAGAACAGUUCCCCACGGCUGAUGGGCACUCACAGGCAGGCAGGAGGGAGCGGUUCCGCACGACUUCCCGGCCCCCUCAGUGCCCAUUUUACAUCUGAGGCUGGCAGACCAGAAGGGCCACGGGAUUUUGAGCCCCAGCCUGAGGCCGGGAAGAGGGAGCUGGGGCAAACAGAGAGCCCAAAGGCGGGUCCGAUUUUGAAGAGUCAAUUUCCUUUGAAGAGGCAUCACCCACCCGGAGGUGGCAUCACCUGCCCAGGAAGUAUCACCUGUGCCUAGAGGAGGCAUCACCCGCCUAGAGGAGGUAUCACCACCCAGAGGAGGCAUCACCCACCUAGAGGAGGUAUCACCACCCAGAGGAGGCAUCACCCACCCAGGAGGUGGCAUCACCCGUGCCCAGAGGAGGCAUCACGCACCCAGAGGAGGCAUCACCCGCCCAGGAGGUGGCAUCACCUGUGCCCAGAGGAGGCAUUGCCGCCAGCCCAGGAGGCAUCACGCACCCAGAGGAGGCAUCACCCGCCCAGGAGGUGGCAUCACCUGUGCCAGAGGAGGCAUCACUACCAGCCCAAGAGGCAUCACCACCCACCUAGGAGGCAUCACCCCCGAGAGGAGGCAUCACCUGUGCCCAGGAGGCAUCACCCGCCCAGAGGAGGCGCCCCAAGUUGGCAGGGUGGUGGGGGCUGGGCCUCUCAGUAAAUGGUCCAGAGCUUCCCCUGGCAGAUCAACUGUUUCUUGGGGACUUAAAGAAGAAUUGGGGUACUGGGACUCCCACUUAGUGACCCCGGAGCCUGAGGUGGCCCACGGAGGAGUGCCCAAGCCCUCAGCAGCCAGACCAGCUCCA